ensembl:snoRNA
UGCAGAUGAUGUCUCUUCCUCACGAUGGUCUGCGGGUGCCACUGUGGGUAGAGCAGAUGAUGCCAAUGGCCCAGCUGAUGCCAGGAG